rnacentral:tRNA from 1 species
GCGUUUGUGGUUUAGUGGUAAAAUUGGGCAUUGCCAGUAACAGCUUCUUCUCGAGAAGUCCGUCUGAAUUGCCUAGCCCCGGGUUCGAUUCCCGGCGAACGCA